rnacentral:sRNA from 1 species
CAGAAAGCCAUCCAAGCAGCGAAGUCUGAGAAUUACUCUCUGACCGACUUCUGGGCCUACAUGGUUAUCUCCAAGCACACCAGAGAACUGUCAGAGUCCCAUUUGUCCAAUAUGAAGAAGCCCGUGGAAGAAGGGACACUACCCUACCCGAUAUUUGCAGCCAUUGACAAUGACCUGCAACCUUCCUGGCAGGAGGCAAGAGCACCAGAGACCUGGUUCGAGUUCACCCCUCACCACGCUGGCUUCCCUGCACUGGGGGCCUAUGUUUCCAUAACCCACUUCGGAAGCAAAUUCAAGAAGGGAAGACUGGUCAGAACUCACCCUGAGAGAGACCUGACUUUCCUGAGAGGUUUAUGGGGAAGUGCUCUUGGUAACAAUGAAGUCAUUAGGGAAUACGUUUUUGGUGAGUAUUUGGGGAACAGAAAGGUCAAACCCUAGAGAUAUUUUAUGCAAGGAGAUUCACAGUACUUUUACUACUCAUGGCAGAAGAGAGACCUGUAUGUAAUUGUUCUAGCAACUGCAUUUCCUGACAUUUAUUCUCAUAUAAUUGGGCAGCCAGCAUGACCACAGAGU